CGACCCAGGAAUGCUUGGGCGUGCCUCCACCCACGCCGGCGUCGGCGGGCGUAUUUCGCCUCACAGUAGGUCGCCGCGACCCGUUGCUUUUGGGGACGUCGAAGGCCCGGACGGAUUGGUACCCUACCGGCUGGGGAUGCGGCUUCGGCUUCUCCUCUUGUCCGGUGGGCGAAACCGCCGGUGUCCUGGCUGCCCUGCGACGGUCGUAGAGACGAGCCCUCCCCAUUCGUGGGGGGCGGCUCUCGCGGCGUGCAAAAGGUCGGUGAUCCACCCGACCCGUCUUGAAACACGGACCAAGGAGUCUAACAUGUGUGCGAGUCAGUGGGCGCACUAAACCCAGAGGCGUAAUGAAAGUGACACGGGUUCGGCUGUCGCCUCGUGUGGCAGCCGGACUCAGGGCCGAUCCCUCACCGGUUGCCCUCGCCUUUCUCCCGCGUCUCGGUAAGCCGGGUGAGCUAUUUUCCCCGGCCAAUGCUGCGGGGCUCGGGGGGAGGCGGGGUUGCGAUGGUGUCCGUAAAAAAGAGCCUGCUGUUGCAGGGGGGCGCAGGCCCGGGACUUGCCAGGACGCCGCGAGACUGUCACUUUGCUGUGAGGCUCCAGGGCCGAUCAGCGGGUCAUGCGUGCAGUCGGCAAGUACCAUGAGCAGACAUGUUGGGACCCGAAAGAUGGUGAACUAUGCCUGGCCAGGAUGAAGCCAGAGGAAACUCUGGUGGAGGUCCGUAGCGAUUCUGACGUGCAAAUCGAUCGUCGGAGCUGGGUAUAGGGGCGA
rnacentral:rRNA from 1 species